rnacentral:rRNA from 1 species
UGAAUAAAAGUCGUAACAAGGUCUCCGUAGGUGAACC